AACGAACGCUGGCGGCAUGCCUAACACAUGCAAGUCGAACGAGACCUUCGGGUCUAGUGGCGCACGGGUGCGUAACGCGUGGGAACCUGCCCUUAGGUUCGGAAUAACUCCCCGAAAGGGGUGCUAAUACCGGAUAAUGUCUUCGGACCAAAGAUUUAUCGCCGUUGGAUGGGCCCGCGUUGGAUUAGCUAGUUGGUAGGGUAAAAGCCUACCAAGGCGACGAUCCAUAGCUGGUCUGAGAGGAUGAUCAGCCACACUGGGACUGAGACACGGCCCCGACUCCUACGGGAGGCAGCAGUGGGGAAUAUUGUACACUGGGCGCAAGCCUGAUCCAGCAAUGCCGCGUGAGUGAUGAAGGCCUUAGGGUUGUAAAGCUCUUUUACCCGGGAUGAUAAUGACAGUACCGGGAGAAUAAGCUCCGGCUAACUCCGUG
rnacentral:rRNA from 1 species